rnacentral:rRNA from 1 species
CCUACGGGGGGCAGCAGUGGGGAAUAUUGGACAAUGGGGGGAACCCUGAUCCAGCCAUGCCGCGUGUGUGAAGAAGGCCCUCGGGUUGUAAAGCACUUUCAGUGAGGAAGAACGCCUGGUGGUUAAUACCCAUCAGGAAAGACAUCACUCACAGAAGAAGCACCGGCUAACUCCGUGCCAGCAGCCGCGGUAAUACGGAGGGUGCGAGCGUUAAUCGGAAUUACUGGGCGUAAAGCGCGCGUAGGUGGCUUGAUAAGCCGGUUGUGAAAGCCCCGGGCUCAACCUGGGAACGGCAUCCGGAACUGUCAAGCUAGAGUGCAGGAGAGGAAGGUAGAAUUCCCGGUGUAGCGGUGAAAUGCGUAGAGGUCGGGAGGAAUACCAGUGGCGAAGGCGGCCUUCUGGACUGACACUGACACUGAGGUGCGAAAGCGUGGGUAGCAAACAGGAUUAGAUACCCCUGUAGUC